UAUUGGUCAAUGGUCGGGAGACUGAACCAGCCAAGCCGCGUGAGGGAGGAAGGUACAGAGUAUCGUAAACCUCUUUUGUCAGGGAACAAAGGCGGGGACGUGUCCCCGGAUGAGUGUACCUGAAGAAAAAGCAUCGGUUAACUCCGUGCCAGCAGCCGCGGUAAUACGGAGGAUGCGAGCGUUAUCCGGAUUUAUUGGGUUUAAAGGGUGAGAGGGCGGUCUGUUAAUCCAGUGUUCAAAGCCCGGGGCUCACCCCCGGCCCGCCGUUGAAACUGGCAGUCUCGAGUUGGAGAGAAGUAUGCGGAAUGCGCGGUGUAGCGGUGAAAUGCAUAGAUAUCGCGCAGAACUCCGAUUGCGAAGGCAGCAUGCCGGCUCCACACUGACGCUGAGGCACGAAAGCGCGGGUAUCGAACAGG
rnacentral:rRNA from 1 species